GGAGGGAUGGCAGAGCGGACGAUUGCGACGGUCUUGAAAACCGUUGAGGUGCAAGCCUCCGGGGGUUCGAAUCCCCCUCCCUCCG
rnacentral:tRNA from 3 species